AGAGUUUGAUCCUGGCUCAGGAUGAACGCUGACAGAAUGCUUAACACAUGCAAGUCGAUGGGGAAGUGGUGCUUGCACCAUGGUAACCAUGGCGGACGGGUGAGUAACGCGUAAGGAACUUGCCUGCGGGACUGGGAUAACAGCAGGAAACUGCUGACAAGACCGGAUAAGGUCAUUAAGCCGCAUAGCUUAGUGAUGAAAGGAGACGCCUGCGGAGAGCCUUGCGUCCUAUUAGCUAGUUGGAGGGGUAACGGCCCACCAAGGCGAAGAUAGGUAGCCGGCCUGAGAGGGUGGACGGCCACAAGGGGACUGAGAUACGGCCCUUACUCCUACGGGAGGCAGCAGUGGGGAAUAUUGGACAAUGGGGGCAACCCUGAUCCAGCAAUUCUGUGUGCACGAAGACGGUUUUCGGAUUGUAAAGUGCUUUCAGCAGGGAAGAAGGAAGUGACGGUACCUGCAGAAGAAGCGACGGCUAAAUACGUGCCAGCAGCCGCGGUAAUACGUAUGUCGCGAGCGUUAUCCGGAAUUAUUGGGCAUAAAGGGCAUCUAGGCGGCCUUUCAAGUCAGGGGUGAAAACCUGCGGCUCAACCGCAGGCCUGCCUUUGAAACUGAUAGGCUGGAGUACCGGAGAGGUGGACGGAACUGCACGAGUAGAGGUGAAAUUCGUAGAUAUGUGCAGGAAUGCCGAUGAUGAAGAUAGUUCACUGGACGGUAACUGACGCUGAAGUGCGAAAGCCGGGGGAGCAAACAGGAUUAGAUACCCUGGUAGUCCCGGCCGUAAACGAUGAUUACUGGGUGUGGGCAGGAAGACUGUCUGUGCCGAAGCAAAUGCGAUAAGUAAUCCGCCUGGGGAGUACGGCCGCAAGGCUGAAACUCAAAGGAAUUGACGGGGACCCGCACAAGCGGUGGAGCAUGU
rnacentral:rRNA from 1 species